rnacentral:rRNA from 1 species
UUGACCUCGGAUCAGGUAGGAAUACCCGCUGAACUUAAGCAUAUCAAUAAGCGGAGGAAAAGAAACCAACAGGGAUUGCCCCAGUAACGGCGAGUGAAGCGGCAACAGCUCAAAUUUGAAAUCUGGCCCCAGGCCCGAGUUGUAAUUUGCAGAGGAUGCUUCGGGCGCGGUGCCUUCCAAGUCCCCUGGAACGGGGCGCCAUGGAGGGUGAGAGCCCCGUAUGGUCGGACGCCAAGCCUAUGUGAAGCUCCUUCGACGAGUCGAGUAGUUUGGGAAUGCUGCUCUAAAUGGGAGGUAGACCCCUUCUAAAGCUAAAUACCGGCUAGAGACCGAUAGCGCACAAGUAGAGUGAUCGAAAGAUGAAAAGAACUUUGAAAAGAGGGUUAAACAGCACGUGAAAUUGUUAAAAGGGAAGCGCUUGUGACCAGACUUGCGCCGGGGCGAUCAUCUGGCGUUCUCGCCGGUGCACUCGCCCCGGCCCAGGCCAGCGUCGGUUCGGGAGGGGGGACAAGGACGUUGGGGAUGUGGCUCCCCCGGGAGUGUUAUAGCCCAGCGUGUCAUGCCCCCGCCCGGACCGAGGUUCGCGCUCUGCAAGGACGCUGGCGUAAUGGUCAUCAGCGGCCCGUCUUGAAACACGGACCAAGGAGUCGAGGUUCUGCGCGAGUGUUUGGGUGCCAAACCCGCACGCGUAAUGAAAGUGAACGUAGGUGGGAGCCUCGGCGCACCACCGACCGAUCCUGAUGUUUUCGGAUGGAUUUGAGUACGAGCGUUGGGCCUCGGACCCGAAAGAUGGUGAACUAUGCUUGGAUAGGGUGAAGCCAGAGGAAACUCUGGUGGAGGCUCGCAGCGGUUCUGACGUGCAAAUCGAUCGUCAAAUCUGAGCAUGGGGGCGAAAGACUAAUCGAACCAUCUAGUAGCUGGUUACCGCCGAAGUUUCCCUCAGGAUAGCAGUGUUGUUUUCAGUUUUAUGAGGUAAAGCGAAUGAUUAGGGACUCGGGGGCGCUAUUUAGCCUUCAUCCAUUCUCAAACUUUAAAUAUGUAAGAAGCCCUUGUUGCUUAAUUGAACGUGGGCAUUCGAAUGUAUCAACACUAGUGGGCCAUUUUUGGUAAGCAGAACUGGCGAUGUGGGAUGAACCAUACGCGAGGUUAAGGUGCCGGAGUGGACGCUCAUCAGACACCACAAAAGGCGUUAGCACAUCUUGACAGCAGGACGGUGGCCAUGGAAGUCGGAAUCCGCUAAGGACUGUGUAACAACUCACCUGCCGAAUGUGCUAGCCCUGAAAAUGGAUGGCGCUCAAGCGUCCCACCCAUACCUCGCCCUCGGGGUAGAAACGAUGCCCCGAGGAGUAGGCGGCCGUGGGGGUCCGUGACGAAGCCCAGGGCGUGAGCCCGGGUCGAACGGCCCCUAGUGCAGAUCUUGGUGGUAGUAA